UGCUGAAGCCGGGAAAGACGGGAGAGGUUGCCAGCCUAGGUUACGGUACCUGGCUUUCUCCUCAAGGGAAGUGGCCUUUUCAGUGAAAGGCUGGUCAUUAGGACUCCUGUGUCUGCGAGUGGAGGGCUGUAAGGGAAGGGUAGAGAGAACGGACUGCAGGCUGAACUUUUUUUUUUUUUUUAAAGUCGAAUUGUGGCCAGGGACGCCUUUGAUUCCCGUACUUGAAAGAAGGGAGACAGGCUGAUCCCUGAGUUUGAGGCCAGCCAGGCCUACAGAGCUAGUUCCAGGACAGCCAGGACUACACAGAGAAACCCUGUCUUGAGAAACCAACCAACCCAACCAACCAACCAACCAACCAACCAAAUAGAAGCUACAUAAUGCUUUACGUCCCUGUUUGCGGUGAUGUGAACUAAACUUCUCUGGUGCUGAGGAAGAUUCAACUGAGCACAAACAAGCAAUGGAUCUGCAAACUGGACAAGUGACUUCAGCUCUACAAACCACAGCACUUUUGAAAUCUCCUUCUCUAGCUCUCCAGUAUUUCCUGUACUCCACCUCCACCAUGGAAUGAUGCAACAAGAGAGCCUUCCCCAGCAGGACUUUGACCUGGAACCCCAGCUCUAGUAGUGUCAGAAAAACAACAACAGCAAAAAAACACACCAUUUCGGAUAUUCUGUUCAGCAGGAAAUGGAUGAAGGGAUGGGGAGAGAGGAACAAACAGGAAAGAGAUGCCGUUUUGGAAAGACCGCUGGGGAUUUUAGGAGAACAAAGAGGAAGGAGGCGGCAAGUUUGGGACUAUUUGUCUGAACGGCCAUGAAAAGUCUUUGUAUCUUCAGGGCCAUAAACUAACCCCAGGAGGGAUUUACAGUGGGUUUGACCUUCAUAUCUUUACUGGGAGUAGAGCUGCUGUCAGAGAGAAUGCAUGUGAGUCCUUGUUUUUCAGAGCUUUCUGAUUCUCUGCAGAUAAAGAGAGAAGAAAGCCUUUCUGCAGCUGGUAUAUC